GACGAACGCUGGCGGCGUGCCUAACACAUGCAAGUCGAGCGAAUGAAGUUCCUUCGGGAACGGAUUUAGCGGCGGACGGGUGAGUAACACGUGGGCAGCCUGCCUCAUAGAGGGGAAUAGCCUUCCGAAAGGGAGAUUAAUACCGCAUAAGAUUGUAGUAUCGCAUGGUACAGCAAUUAAAGGAGUAAUCCGCUAUGAGAUGGGCCCGCGGCGCAUUAGCUAGUUGGUGAGGUAACGGCUCACCAAGGCGACGAUGCGUAGCCGACCUGAGAGGGUGAUCGGCCACAUUGGGACUGAGACACGGCCCAGACUCCUACGGGAGGCAGCAGUGGGGAAUAUUGCACAAUGGGGGAAACCCUAAUGCAGCAACGCCGCGUGAGUGAUGACGGCCUUCGGGUUGUAAAGCUCUGUCUUCAGGGACGAUAAUGACGGUACCUGAGGAGGAAGCCACGGCUAACUACGUGCCAGCCGCCGCAGUAA
rnacentral:rRNA from 1 species